rnacentral:rRNA from 1 species
AUGACGCUGGUCGUGCAGGCUAAUCACAUGCAAGUCGAGCGGAUGAAGGGAGCUUGUCUCCUGGAUUCAGCGGCGGACUGGGUGAGUAAUGCCUAGGAAUCUGCCUGGUAUUGGGGGCAUAACGUCCGGAAACGGGCGCGUAAGUACCGCAUACGUCCUGAGGGAGAAAGUGGGGGAUCUUCGGACCAUCACGCUAUCAGAUGAGCCUAGGUCGGAUUAGCUAGUUGGUGGNGGUAAAGGCCUACCAAGGGCGACGAUCCGUAACUGGUCUGAGAGGAUGAUCAGUCACACUGGAACUGAGACACGGUCCAGACUCCUACGGGAGGCAGCAUGUGGGGAAUAUUGGACAAUGGGCGAAAGCCUGAUCCAGCCAUGCCGCGUGUGUGAAGAAGGUCUUCGGAUUAGUAAAGCACUUUAAGUUGGGAGGAAGGGCAGUAAGUUAAUACCUUGCUGUUUUGACGUUACCAACAGAAUAAGCACCGGCUAACUUCGUGCCAGGCAGCCGCGGUAAUACGAAGAGGUGCAAGCGUUAAUCGGAAUUACUGGGCGUAAAAGCGCGCGUAGGUGGUUCAGCAAGUUGGAUGUGAAAUCCCCGNGCUC